rnacentral:rRNA from 1 species
AUGCCCACAGAUUACUUUUUAGUUAUGCAAAGUUUAAACUUCAGUCAUGCUUUAUUGGUCGUUUUCCCCAAUAAAUAUCUACCAACUGCAGGUCCUUGGGGUUGGGUGCGGCAACUCGCGGCUCGAAGACAAUCUUUUGUGGUGGGGCGUCGCUGCCGCCGGCGGCACCUGCAUAGACCGUCUCGCUGGGAACGAAGAGAUGCUCCCCUGAUUUGGAGCUGUAGAAAGGAGGUGGUUGCAGACACAAAGUGGGGACACACAACUCCCAGUCAUAAUAUUCUUUAUCUUGGCUCGUUAUUUGGGGAUGGACGCAUCAAUCUGAUCGCGCUCUCCUCCAUGCCAAACGGAUCCUUGGUUCGGAGGUGCGCGGCGCCGACGAUGACAACCUUUCUAUUGACGCAAGGGCAGCAGGAGCUCAUGACGCUGUUGAUGCCACCACCAUGCACAGGGUUGAUGCAAGGUGGGACAAUGAGCUUUUUGAUUCAGAUAAUUUGUUUACCUGAUGCCUUCACUCCAGAGCUUCUGCAGGAGGGCGUCACCUGCGGCAUCACUUGCAUCGACCUCGCACCGAUCACCGUCCCGAGGAUGCACGACAGACUAGCGGAGCAGGGCACCAGUGAUUGUUUCACCAAUUUGCUCGACUCAUUGUUCCCUUCCUCUGUCCACGCAACUCUGUUCAUCUUGCCUGCCUUCUUAGGAGAAACCAAUUUACUGAAGUAUGGUGUAUUUGUAAGGUUGGCAAUUCCGAAAUGGGCACUGAACUUUAAAAAGCAGUAUGAACUCAACCCCUUCUGUAAAUCAAAUAUUUCAUUUGCGGGGACGACGUGGGGCUCAUGUCGAGCACUUCACCUGCAAUGGGUGUGGCCUUCUCCGUCUGCCAAACAUGCUACAAGUACGAGCACCAUGAGGGAACUGCCUGGAGUGCAAGACCCGCCACAAGCUCCUCAAGGGUCAGUCAGCCUCCACCCACGGCCGAAGGCACUUGCAGAUGUGAAGAAUAUCCAUGUCCGAUUACAUCGCCAGAAAGCAAAAACCAUGAGAGCCCACACUAAUCAUCAAGGCCUUUGGUCAGUUUGCAACUGGGCGAGCUGGCGGCGGCAUGGCGCGCUGGUGCGAGUGACCGCGGGUUCGGCCAGGGUGCGAGCUGAUCUGGCAUGUGCGCUGGCGAAGUGCGAGGUGGGCGUGGAUCUGGCGCCUAGCAUGCGCGAGGGAGGACAUAUGGGCGUUGUGCGUUUCUUCGCGGCGGGAGCCGGUGGUUGCGGCGCCAGAGAAUGCUGGGGCAGCGGCCUCGGGCUGAUGGCUGCUAUGGCAGGGGCUGCUGCACCGGCUCAGGAUGGUGGAUUUGGAGCGAUGCACUCAGAUCUGACCCUGGCAACCGCGUUGUUUCUAUGUCGCAUGAGUUGCUGCAGCUGGUCGUCGCAUUUGCAAGCAAGCUCACUGAUAGGAGAUCAGGGACUCGGGCGAAAGCUCCGUGACCUUCUUAGAGGCAUAGUCGUAGACAUCUUCCUAUCCUUUCAUGUGCUUGGGUUCUCCGGGCGUUGCCUUGGAGGGCCAGCCUUUGGAUGUCGUGUGGGGAUCUUUCGUUUUCAAGGGCGGUGUAUGUCGGGGCUGCAGCUCCGGGAUCUUCUAUUAAGUGUCGAGGCUGCGGCCUCGGGCAGUACUGCGAUGACAGCUCCAAGAGGUAGGGCUGCUUGUCGGCAUGGCUUGGGUGAGGACCUUGAAGUGCGGAAGCAGCAAGGUUGUCAGCUCCGUCAAUGCGCCCCAGUCGGGACUGUUGGACGACAUGUUGGGGCAGCGGCCCAGGAUGUGGUGCAGCGUUCGUGGUCUAUGUGCGGUUGGCCUGAGCAGCGUGAGUUGCGGGUAGCUGUAUCGUUCGGCGUAGUGCCGGCCAGGUUGUCGCUCAUCCAGGUUGCCGACCGGGAAGAGUUGAACACUUUCAGAUCAGGAGUAGUAGAAAUUCUUAAGGGCAUUGGGAUAUUGAACUGCAGUUGUGCAGAUAGCUUCGGCAGCAAGUUUCAAGGUCACAUGGAUGCUGACAGCUCUCAGGUGUAUGGCCUAUUUGUUGCUGGGUAUUGUUGCCUUUCUUCCUGGUAUGCCAAUGUUUAUACAGCGGAGGAUCCUGAGUUGAUGCAUAUAUUGGCUCAAAAAAGGAGCUUGCUACGGCCAUCCAGGGGGCCAGGGCGAUUAGAUGCCCAUCACUCACGGCGGCAAGAAGUUCCGUGUCGAGUUGAUGAACCAGCACCAGCUGGGAGCCCGGAUGAAGAAGGUUGUCCCGCGGAGAAAAAGGAGAAGUGA